UACGGGGGGAGCAAGCGUUGUUCGGAUUUACUGGGCGUAAAGGGCGCGUAGGCGGUCAGCACAAGUCAGUUGUGAAAUCUCCGGGCUUAACCCGGAAAGGUCAACUGAUACUGUGCGACUAGAGUGCGGAAGGGGCAACUGGAAUUCUUGGUGUAGCGGUGAAAUGCGUAGAUAUCGAGAGGAACACCUGAGGUGAAGACGGGUUGCUGGGCUGACACUGACGCUGAGGCGCGAAAGCUAGGGUAGCAAACGGG
rnacentral:rRNA from 1 species